UGAAGCCUCUUCAGAGACAAGUAUGUUUCUU
rnacentral:piRNA from 1 species